GCCUGAUAGUGGGGGAUAACGUUCGAAACGAACGNUAAUACCGCAUACGUCCUACGGGAGAAAGCAGGGGACCUUCGGGGCCUUGCGCUAUCAGAUGAGCCUAGGUCGGAUUAGCUAGUUGGUGAGGUAAUGGCUCACCAAGGCUACGAUCCGUAACUGGUCUGAGAGGAUGAUCAGUCACACUGGAACUUGAGACACGGUCCAGACUCCUACGGGAGGCAGCAGUGGGGAAUAUUGGACAAUGGGCGAAAGCCUGAUCCAGCCAUGCCGCGUGUGUGAAGAAGGUCUUCGGAUUGUAAAGCACUUUAAGUUGGGAGGAAGGGCAUUAACCUAAUACGUUGGUGUCUUGACGUUACCGACAGAAUAAGCACCGGCUAACUCUGUGCCAGCAGCCGCGGUAAUACAGAGGGUGCAAGCGUUAAUCGGAAUUACUGGGCGUAAAGCGCGCGUAGGUGGUUUGUUAAGUUGAAUGUGAAAUCCCCGGGCUCAACCUGGGAACUGCAUCCAAAACUGGCAAGCUAGAGUAUGGUAGAGGGUAGUGGAAUUUCCUGUGUAGCGGUGAAAUGCGUAGAUAUAGGAAGGAACACCAGUGGCGAAGGCGACUACCUGGACUGAUACUGACACUGAGGUGCGAAGAGCGUGGGGAGCAAACAGGAUUAGAUACCCUGGUAGUCCACGCCGUAAACGAAUGUCAACUAGCCGUUGGGAGUCUUGAACUCUUAGUGGUCGCAGCUAACGCAUUAAGUUGACCGCCUGCCGCAGUACGUUCGUGACGA
rnacentral:rRNA from 1 species